AUUUGCAUGUAAAGCUUUAAUGAUCAAACAGCAGUUGAAAAUAACAAAUUCUAUUUUAUGCGAAGGAAAAUCUAGAAGAGAAAAAAAAAGAUAUAGUAUAAUCAAUGAUUUGAAAUAAUCAGUUUAAUGAAUAGAUUAUCUCUUGAGAGAAAUAAAGAAAAAGUUGGUUAUGUUCAUAUUAUGAAAUUUGAUGAAAUGCUAGGUUAAAAUUGAACGAGGCCAAAAUAAAAUCCUGUAAAAGGAUUCGUCCAACUUUUCGCGGCCAAUUGCGGGGAAUUAGGGUGAACGAGUGAUGAUAUAGAUAUAUAGAAGAGGAAAUUUGAGCGGAUUAGAGGAAAUUAGGGGAUCAAGAAGAAGAGAGAGAAUUAUAUAGGCAUGGUGAAGGAUCUCGUGAUCAAUGCAAGUACAAAAGACGAGAUAUUCGGAGAAUAUUAAAUUUGCCUGCCAUCUUCAGUAAAAUAAAUCUAAUAAUAUAGAGGAUGAAGCAUAUCAGGAUUAAAUAAAUUUCUAUUAAAUAAAUUUAUUAUUUCA